AAAUCUCUGCAGGCAAAUGUG
rnacentral:miRNA from 2 species